rnacentral:rRNA from 1 species
AACGAACGCUGGCGGCAUGCCUAACACAUGCAAGUCGAACGAGACCUUCGGGUCUAGUGGCGCACGGGUGCGUAACGCGUGGGAACCUGCCCUUAGGUUCGGAAUAACUCCCCGAAAGGGGUGCUAAUACCGGAUAUGUCCUUCGGCCCAAAGAUUAAUCGCCUUUGGAUGGGCCCGCGUUGGAUUAGCUAGUUGGUAGGGUAAAAGCCUACCAAGGCGACGAUCCAUAGCUGGUCUGAGAGGAUGAUCAGCCACACUGGGACUGAGACACGGCCCAGACUCCUACGGGAGGCAGCAGUGGGGAAUAUUGCACAAUGGGCGAAAGCCUGAUCCAGCCAUGCCGCGUGAGUGAUGAAGGCCUUAGGGUUGUAAAGCUCUUUUACCCGGGAUGAUAAUGACAGUACCGGGAGAAUAAGCUCCGGCUAACUCCGUG